CAGGCUCACGACGGCCUGGCUGAGGCUUCUGGGGGAGGGGAAGGGGAAUAUAGGAAGUACACUAUUGCCAAAAGAUGAAAACUGGGCCUAAAUUUUGGUAUAAGGCCUCUGGCCCUCUUCCAGUGGGACGUAUUAAAACCGGUAUCAGGGGUGACACAGCAGGCGCUGCUGGAAUGACUCGUUCUCCUGACAUGGCCACCCCGAGAGCUGGCGAGCUGCCCCGCUCCACCCAUCUCUGAUCUCACCACAACAUGUCCCAUAUUAGACAAUUGGCUCACGAAAACCCAACUCUGUACCAGGUAAUGCCUGUCUUCUUCGAGACUCUACAGCCAUGCACCGCAAGCACCUUGCAAGCACUCAGGAAGGAGUGAUGGAUAGAUCUGUGAAUACGGAAGGAAUGAGUAAAUAAAUAAAUAUACUUCACGAAG